rnacentral:miRNA from 1 species
AGCCACAGGUACGCUGCCACU